GAGCGGCGGACGGGUGAGUAACGCGUGGGUAACCUGCCUCAUACAGGGGGAUAACAGUUAGAAAUGACUGCUAAUACCGCAUAAGACCACAGCACCGCAUGGUGCAGGGGUAAAAACUCCGGCGGUGCAGGAUGGACCCGCGUCUGAUUAGCUAGUUGGUAAGGUAACGGCUUACCAAGGCGACGAUCAGUAGCCGACCUGAGAGGGUGAUCGGCCACAUUGGAACUGAGACACGGUCCAAACUCCUACGGGAGGCAGCAGUGGGGAAUAUUGCACAAUGGGCGAAAGCCUGAUGCAGCAACGCCGCGUGAGCGAUGAAGGCCUUCGGGUCGUAAAGCUCUGUCCUCAAGGAAGAUAAUGACGGUACUUGAGGAGGAAGCCCCGGCUAACUACGUGCCAGCAGCCGCGGUAAUACGUAGGGGGCUAGCGUUAUCCGGAAUUACUGGGCGUAAAGGGUGCGUAGGUGGUUUCUUAAGUCAGAGGUGAAAGGCUACGGCUCAACCGUAGUAAGCCUUUGAAACUGGGAAACUUGAGUGCAGGAGAGGAGAGUGGAAUUCCUAGUGUAGCGGUGAAAUGCGUAGAUAUUAGGAGGAACACCAGUUGCGA
rnacentral:rRNA from 1 species